rnacentral:tRNA from 1 species
GGUGGCUCAGCAGUAGAGCACUUGCCUUGUAUGCAUGAGGCCCUGGGUUCAAUUCCUCAGCACCA